UCUGAUGAAGGGUAUGAAAUGAUAAAAAUACAUAAUGUAUUUUUUUUUUUUUAAUUCUUCAUUUUUCAUUCACAUGCACUCAACUGAAUAUCAGGAA
rnacentral:ribozyme from 1 species